GCGUCAGGUGCCGGCUGUUGAGAACACUUUGGACGCGCUCAGGACAGUUUGGACACUGCUGUGAAAAUCAGAGGAUCCAGAAAUGGUGAAGACUCUCCUGAAAGUUUGCUAUCGUGAUGACAAUCAUGAGCCACGGUUUACUGUUUGAUGCCAUGGCAGUGAAGAGAUCUAGGUCCCAGUUCGCCAUGAAUCAGAGCCAUACCUGCCGGCGUUGAUGACAGCGGCAUCAGAUCCUGAGCAGAUGUCCUCCAGGAUGAAGAAACUUUCAUCACAGGAGGUAUUGAGGUAACGGAAUAAAGGCUAAUCAGGAGUGAACGAAAGAUAUCUACAAGAAAUGUGACCUACCUACAAACCUGACACCUCGCCGGACGAAAGAGUUAAAGUUGCAGCCUGCGGCGUUGAUAUCGGCUUCAGCUCCUCCUCUGCACUGCGCCCGGGAUAGACAGCAGAACAGAAUCCCCUCUCCGAUCAUGAUCUAUGGACAUGCAACACACGAGGUCAAGGUGGAAGUGGAUCAAAUGUUCAGGAUAUCUCUCCUCUCAGAUUGCACUCAAUGGUCUCAUACUGACUCUUUCAAGAGGUUCUUUUUACCUUGACACCAAACACAGAAACUCUGAAGUGAAGCUACAGAUGCCUUUAAACAGAACCGCCAUAAUGUCCUUGUCUACUUGUAAAUGCACAGUUUUGAUGAGCCAUAAUGCAAUCAGCUCUCACUUGGGCUAAGAGAGCGGUCGUUUUGAUCAUUGCACACUUAUGUAUUAAUGCCCAUCUUAAGCAGGGCUGUCAGUGUGCAUCAAAGACACAUCCAUGCUUAAUCUGCUCCAGAUCUGUCCCCAGCGUUUCACCUCCCUGUCUUCUGAGAAUCACGCACCCACUGACUUCUGCACAAACAGCAGGGCUGUGAAGUGCUGCUUUCAUGGAGAUGAAUUAUUUCAGCUCAGCUGGUCACAAGCUUUGAAAAACCUUGUUUGCGUCCUUGGUCCAUUCACUCCAAGCUUUUGUAACUUUUGCCACAUUGUAGGAGAACUGCAUCUGGGCAUUUUUAAAUUAAAAUAGAUUUGAAUACUUAAUAUAUA